CCUACGGGUGGCAGCAGUGGGGAAUAUUGCACAAUGGGGGGAACCCUGAUGCAGCGAUGCCGCGUGGAGGAAGAAGGUUUUCGGAUUGUAAACUCCUUUUAUCAGGGACGAUAAUGACGGUACCUGAAGAAAAAGCUCCGGCUAACUACGUGACAGCAGCCGCGGUAAUACGUAGGGAGCGAGCGUUGUCCGGAAUUACUGGGUGUAAAGGGAGAGUAGGCGGGACGGCAAGUCAGAUGUGAAAACUGAGGGCUCAACCUUCAGACUGCAUUUGAAACUGCUGUUCUUGAGUGAAGUAGAGGUAAGCGGAAUUCCUAGUGUAGCGGUGAAAUGCGUAGAUAUUAGGAGGAACAUCGGUGGCGAAGGCGGCUUACUGGGGUGCGACUGACGCUGUGGCUCGAAGGUGCGGGUAUCAAACAGGAUUAGAUACCCUUGUAGUC
rnacentral:rRNA from 1 species